GACAACAUAACUGAAAAUUCAACAACAACAUAAAUAAUAAAAUUUCAGUUUGUAACUACUAAGGUAGCAUACAAACGUGGAUAUUUCGGAUCCACUUCUAUCCCACUGAACAUGUCGUUCACAUCUUCAUCAUUUUUCAACUCUUUCCACUUGUAUUUUCGCGGUGCCUCAUCAUAUCCACCGACAUUAUCACUUGCCAGAUCGAUUGUCGAUUCGUAAUACGCAAUUCUUUCUAUUUUGAUUUGUCUGUCGUAUUUGAAGCGAUACAUGACUUCGAUCUUGCGUUUAAAAGCCUGAACAGUUGUUAAAGUGUUCGACAGGUCAACGUAGAACAACUCGUCGUUACCGCGAAACUUAACUGAAAAUGCAUGAGAUGUCGCCAAAUUGUUAUUAACAAACCGAUUUGAA
rnacentral:lncRNA from 1 species